rnacentral:lncRNA from 1 species
GGCGGCGGCGUCACUCGGGUGCGCGCGUGCGUGGGUGCGUCACGUGCCGCCGAGGGCGGGACGGGCUGAGGGGAGCUCGCGCCGCCCCCGGCCCCUGAGGGGAGCCCGCGCAUGGCCGCGGCCCCUGGGUCCCGUGGGGGGCCCUUGGGCCCCGUUAGGGUCCUCUUGGGGUCCCCCUGGGUCCCAUUAGGGUCCUCUUGGAUCCUCUUGGGUCCUAUUAGGGUCCCCCUGGGUCCUAUUGGGGUUCCUUAGGUCCCGUUAGGGUCCUCUUAGGGUCCCCCUGGGUCCCAUUAGUGUCCUGUUGAGGUCCCAUUAGGGUCCCCCUGUGUCCCCUCAGAUCCCCAUGGCCCAGGGCUGGCGCCAGCCCCAGCCCCCCCUGCGCCUCCCCUCAGCCUCUCCCGAGCCCUCAGGCCCGCCCGGGCAGGGCAGCGCAGCCCCUCAGGUGCUGUGGGGACAGGAGUGACCCAGCAGGGCGAGGCUGGGGCAAAAGCCCAAGCUGAUGUUGGUGCCCAUGCCAGGGAGGGGUCUGUAGGCUGCGAGGGUAGGUCCUUUCCUUAAGCUGUGUGAGGAGUCAGCGAUGCUGGCUUGAGUUAGGGUGAUUUUGUAAAUCCCAAAGAGUUACAGGAGUUAGGGGGCGUUUUCCCAGUGGUUUUGAAGCUUUCCAGGCUGGCAGUCGAGUGGAGCGUGCUGUAGGAGUGGGAGGUGGCGCCUGUGGUGCCGGCUGUCCCACAGGGAGCUUCUGGGGGCGCUGCCGCAGGGACUCCGGCCCACCGACACCAACUUCUGCCUGCAGCUUUCUCCUGCUGCCCCCCAGAAGCUGGAAGCAGCCGUAGCACUGAGUGUGUUGUACGUGGGUGUGGUGCCCGUGGGCCCUGCGUUGGGAUGGGUCUUGAUUUUACGUCUUAGUUGAGUUUGGAGCGAGUGGCCUGCAGUGAAAGGAGCGUCACCGCUUAGGAAGCAGAAGUUGUUCUUGCAGCCACCGCCUCCUCCUGGGCCUUCCUUGUCAGAAGUGUCAGAAACCAUCCCCAGCGUGCGCUGGGGGGGCCGACCUAUUGGUCCCAGAUUCCUCACUUGGAGGCGUUUUUGAGCCGGUUUGCAGACGAUUCAAGCCCCCCGCACCCCAGCUUCCACCUCCUGAAAACCAUCCUCCUGGCAUCUCUGAAUUAGACACCCAGAGGCAGGGGUUGCUGCCUGGAAAGCUGUCUGGGCGAGGCCUUUCCUAGGGACGGCUUGCCUGGGAGCAGAAAUGCAGGAGCCGGAGCUGAGGAGCGCCCAGGCGCUUUGAUGAGGCCCCGGCUGAGCUCAACCCCUCAUUUCCUGCUCCUCACAGCUCUGUGC